GGUUGCGAUCAUACCAGCACUAAUGCACCGGAUCCCAUCAGAACUCCGAAGUUAAACGUGCUUGGGCGAGAGUAGUACUAAGAUGGGUGACCUCUUAGGAAGUACUCGUGUUGCACCCC
rfam:Ricinus communis cultivar Hale ctg_1100012300538, whole genome shotgun sequence.